rnacentral:rRNA from 1 species
UACGUAGGGUGCGAGCGUUAAUCGGAAUUACUGGGCGUAAAGCGUGCGCAGGCGGUUCGUUAAGUUCGUUGUGAAAGCCCCGGGCUCAACCUGGGAACGGCAAUGGAAACUGGCGGGCUUGAGUGCGGCAGAGGGGGGUGGAAUUCCGCGUGUAGCAGUGAAAUGCGUAGAGAUGCGGAGGAACACCGAUGGCGAAGGCAGCCCCCUGGGCCGACACUGACGCUCAGGCACGAAAGCGUGGGGAGCGAACAGG